rnacentral:rRNA from 1 species
GAUGAACGCUGGCGGCGUGCCUAAUACAUGCAAGUCGAGCGAACGGACGAGAAGCUUGCUUUUCUGAUGUUGGCGGCGGACGGGUGAGUAACACGUGGAUAACCUACCUAUAAGACUGGGAUAACUUCGGGAAACCGGAGCUAAUACCGGAUAAUAUUUUGAACCGCAUGGUUCAAAAGUGAAAGACGGUCUUGCUGUCACUUAUAGAUGGAUCCGCGCUGCAUUAGCUAGUUGGUAAGGUAACGGCUUACCAAGGCAACGAUGCAUAGCCGACCUGAGAGGGUGAUCGGCCACACUGGAACUGAGACACGGUCCAGACUCCUACGGGAGGCAGCAGUAGGAAAUCUUCCGCAAUGGGCGAAAGCCUGACGGAGCAACGCCGCGUGAGUGAUGAAGGUCUUCGGAUCGUAAAACUCUGUUAUUAGGGAAGAACAUAUGUGUAAGUAACUGUGCACAUCUUGACGGUACCUAAUCAGAAAGCCACGGCUAACUACGUG